rnacentral:rRNA from 1 species
CCCCAUAGUCUGGGAUACCACUUGGAAACAGGUGCUAAUACCGGAUAAGAAAGCGGAUCGCAUGAUCAGCUUUUAAAAGGCGGCGUAAGCUGUCGCUAUGGGAUGGCCCCGCGGUGCAUUAGCUAGUUGGUAAGGUAAAGGCUUACCAAGGCGAUGAUGCAUAGCCGAGUUGAGAGACUGAUCGGCCACAUUGGGACUGAGACACGGCCCAAACUCCUACGGGAGGCAGCAGUC